CGGUUCGCUUGUUCUGUUUUCCCCCUAUCCGAUCGCUUGGUUCCAUCCCCUCCGCACAGACCUCCUGGUACAGGAAGUGGCGAGGCGAGGCGAGGGAAGCAGGCGCCGCAGGAGUCGGGGAGGAUCUCCUGGUGAGGAAGGCGUGCGCGCAGGACGUCAAGGUCUUCCCCGCGUCUCCACCUGUUGAUCCCGCCGCCGAUUUAACUCCAGCCACCGCCGGUGCUCUCCGGGUAGGGAAUUGGAGGCGACGGUGCGGCCCUUCACCGGCCAGCCAGAGGGUCGAGGUCCUACCGUCGCUUGCGCGGAGGGAAAGAGGGUCGAGGCCCUUGUGCUGCUUCCCUCCACGUCCCGCCGCCGGACUAGAUGGCCGGCCUAUUCCGUUCGUCACCGCCGGACUAGAGAUAAGCCACCAUCUUUCUUUUUUAUUUCGUAUUAGCAUACAAGACUAAAUGUGAGGAAACUUCGCUGCUACCUUUGGCAGUCCCCUGGAACACACCACGUUCCUAAUUUCAAAAUUUCUCCCCAGCUUUCAAUCCUCGACUGAUUGAAAUCUCUGGAUGUACGUUGUGUGUGCCCAACAACUGUUUGUAUUAAUGCUGAAAGAGAGGACAAAGGAGGCAGCGGGCGUGCAGGCACUGAUUCGAUGGAGGGGGCUCUGGAUGGAGCGUGGAGGCGCUGGUGAGAUGGAGGCCGAUUCCAGUCACCGAGGCUCACGACGUUGGGUGGACAAAACUGGCCGGCAAAUAGAACGAAGCCAACCGCCGCCAUAGGCGUCCACUCCAAGACCGCCCGGGUCCAGCACUCGGAGUCCCACCAGAGCGUGUCCAAGCUGCGGAGCGUGCCACUUCAUUGAGCCGGCCUUCAAGGAGCCCUCUCUCUUGACCUGCUGCUGACUACAUCAUAGCUCAUGCUUGCUUAUCAGUCCAAAACACCUUUAGCGCGUGUAAUCUGGCUUCAGCUCUUGGAGUUAAUAAGGGGAUAGGUUCUGAAUCUGCUUUUUUGGAUAAGCACCUAGCUUAUACCUUUAGUUCAACUGAUUCGAUACUUUGGCAAAGAUAGUAGUCGGAGAGCUUUGUUUCCUAAUAAAAUUGUCUCACAGUUAGACGUAA